rnacentral:misc_RNA from 1 species
UCCGUUUUGUCAACGGCAGUCUCUCUAGAGUGCCCAACUUAAUGAUGGCAACUAAAGAUAAGGGUUGCGCUCGUUGCGGGACUUAACCCAACAUCUCACGACACGAGCUGACGACAGCCAUGCAGCACCUGUCUCACGGUUCCCGAAGGCACCCGCCCAUCUCUGGGCAGUUCCGUGGAUGUCAAGGCCAGGUAAGGUUCUUCGCGUGGCAUCGAAUUAAGCAACAUGCUCCACCGCUUGUGUGAGCCCCCGUCAAUUCAUUUGAGUUUUAGCCUUGCGACCGUACUCCCCAGGCGGUGCACUUAUCGUUUUUACUGCGACUGAUACGGCGUCAAAACCGCACCAGUCUAGUGCACAUCGUUUACGGCGUGGACUAU